rnacentral:rRNA from 1 species
UACAGAGGGGGCGAGCGUUGUUCGGAAUUACUGGGCGUAAAGCGCACGUAGGCGGCUUUGUAAGUUAGAGGUGAAAGCCCGGAGCUCAACUCCGGAACUGCCUUUAAGACUGCAUCGCUUGAAUCCAGGAGAGGUGAGUGGAAUUCCGAGUGUAGAGGUGAAAUUCGUAGAUAUUCGGAAGAACACCAGUGGCGAAGGCGGCUCACUGGACUGGUAUUGACGCUGAGGUA